AUGAGUGUAGCUCAUCUUUUAGGCAAACCACCUACACACCCUCUUCACAUUCAGGCAGGCGAGGCUUCAGACGCCUGUACUGACUGUUGCUGGGGACUUCCCUUCCUCCUGCUUCGCCGGUACGGGGAAACACCACUUCACACAGCACUCGGGCAGGAAGGACGACCUCUCCAGCCGGGACAGGAAGAUGAGUGGCUGGGUGCUGCUGCUGAUGUUGAGGAAUGCGAACCCCACGGGCUGCACGUAGCAGCGGAACACGUCGGGCGCGUAGGCGUCCUCGAAGGGGAACAGGGCCACGGGCGGCAGGUAGUUGCACACGGUGAGCACCAGGAUGGCCAGCACCAUCUUGAAGGCCUUCUUCUUCAUGGGGUGCAUCGCGUCCUUGCCCGCGCCGCGGGACCUCUUCAGCGCCAGCAGGAUGGCGGCGUUGCACACGAUCAUCCACACGAACACAGCCAGGAUCUCCCCCGUGAACACCUUCUCAAAGUCGGGCAGGCCGCCCACCGUCUUGGCCGAGGCGUAGGCCAAGGUGAGGCCCAGCACCAGCAUGGAGAGGCUGAUGCGGUAGCGGGGGGCCCGGAGGGUGCCGAAGGCGAUGGGGAACAGCACGGCCACGAAGCGGUCCAAGCAGAUGCAGGACAGGAACAGGGGCCCGCUGGUGUCCUUGACGCCGUAGGAGAACUUGACGGACAGCCACACCUUGUAGCUCUCCCAGUGGUACAGGUUGAGGAUGUUGAUGGGCACCAUGGCGCCGUAGUAGAUGUCCAGGAAGGCCAGGCAGCCCAGGAACAGGUCGGAGGUGGAGGGCUCCUUGCGGUUGCGCAGGAGGACGGUGAUCACCAGUAUGUUGGCGGGGAUGCCCAUGACCACGUUGACGCACUGCACGAUCAGGUCGAACAGGAUGCCCUCGGCCAUGAGCUCGCAGCCUUCGAACGGGCUGAAGGGGGCGUGCGUGGCGUUGAGCGCCCCCGUGUGGUUGAGGGGGUAGGUGGGGGUAGUGGAGUUGGUCGUGUUGUACACAUAGUCCGCCAUGGUGCCUCUACAGGAGCAGGAGCCAAGUCAAACUCCACUGUCUCUAAUGGUGGGAGAGGAUAA
rnacentral:lncRNA from 1 species